UACGUAGGCAGCAAGCGUUGUUCGGAGUUACUGGGCGUAAAGGGUGCGUAGGCGGCCGUGUAAGUGUGGUGUGAAAAUCUCCCGGCUUAACUGGGAGGGUGCGCUACAGACUGCAUGGCUAGAGUGUGGGGAGAGGAAAGUGGAAUUCCUGGUGUAGCGGUGAAAUGCGUAGAUAUCAGGAGGAACACCGGUGGUGUAAACGGCUUUCUGGACCAUAACUGACGCUGAUGCACGAAAGCGUGGGUAGCAAACAGG
rnacentral:rRNA from 1 species